rnacentral:ncRNA from 2 species
UAGUUCCUUCAGGGUAAGGUGAGACGGCAACUGGCCGUCAAUUCCUAAUCGGCGGUGAUGACUCUUUUGCUUCGGCAUAGGCAGGCUAAGUCCGCGAGCCUUCACAGGCAGGAACUGGUGCGAAUCCAGUACCGACGGUAUAGUCCGGAUGGGAGAAGGAAUGA